rnacentral:misc_RNA from 2 species
AACGCACCUUGCGCGCUCCGGUAUUCCGGAGCGCAUGCCCGUUUGAGUGUCGUGGUAUCAUCAAACCUCCAUCGUUUCGGCGGUGGUCGGCUUGGAUAUGGAGGUGUUGCUGGGCCCUUUUGGGUUCGGCUCCUCUCAAAUGCAUUAGCUGGGGCGUUCGGUCUAAAGGCUCUGGCGUGAUAGUGAUGUUGCGUCGUGGUCUAGGGCCUCUUGUGUCACCGCUUCCAAUCGUCCGCGAGGACAGCAUUGUUUUUUGACCUUUGACCUCAAAUCGGGUAGGACUACCCGCUGAACUUAA